CUAGAUGCUAAAGGAAGCUCGACAUGUGUGUUUCAUCUUUUCUCAAUCGCAGAGUCGCACAUUGAAAGAACGAAAUUUACACUUCAACCUGAACCCAUCCAAGCUACAGACAUGUUGUCCCACUGGGAGUUUCUGCAGGACAGCUUUGAUUUGCUGCUCCAUUGCAAGGCAGGCUAUGUUAAGAAAGGUCAGAAAAGACAGAGGCAGAAGGCUCUAGUCUGGGCCCUCUCCGAGAGAAACAGAAGGACACUCCGAGCCUGCCUCCCACCCGCCCUGUUGUAGGGGAAGGCAAUUGGGGGCAAAAGCUGU